GGGUUGUGAGGUUAAGCGAAUAAGCGUACACGGUGGAUGCCUAGGCAAUCAGAGGCGAUGAAGGACGUGCUAAUCUGCGAAAAGCGUCGGUAAGGUGAUAUGAACCGUUAUACCCGACGAUAUCCGAAUGGGGAAACCCAGUAUCCAAUGGAUACUAUCAUUAACUGAAUCCAUAGGUUAAUGAGGCGAACCGGGAGAACUGAAACAUCUCAGUACCCCGAGGAAAAGAAAUCAACCGAGAUUCCCCUAGUAGCGGCGAGCGAACGGGGAGCAGCCCAGAGUCUUAAUCAAUAGCAGUGUCAGGAGAACGGUCUGGAAAGUCCGGCAGUAAAGGGUGAUAGCCCCGUAUCUGAAGAUGCUGUUAUUGUGAACUCGAUGAGUAGGGCGGGACACGUGUUAUCCUGUCUGAAUAUGGGGGGACCAUCCUCCAAGGCUAAAUACUCCUGAUUGACCGAUAGUGAACCAGUACCGUGAGGGAAAGGCGAAAAGAACCCCGGCGAGGGGAGUGAAAAAGAACCUGAAACCGUGUACGUACAAGCAGUAGGAGCCUCUUUAUGGGGUGACUGCGUACCUUUUGUAUAAUGGGUCAGCGACUUAUAUUCUGUAGCGAGGUUAACCGUAUAGGGGAGCCGUAGGGAAACCGAGUCUUAACUGGGCGAAUGAGUUGCAGGGUAUAGACCCGAAACCCGGUGAUCUAUCCAUGGGCAGGUUGAAGGUUGGGUAACACUAACUGGAGGACCGAACCGACUAAUGUUGAAAAAUUAGCGGAUGACUUGUGGAUGGGGGUGAAAGGCCAAUCAAACCGGGAGAUAGCUGGUUCUCCCCGAAAGCUAUUUAGGUAGCGCCUCGUGAACUCAUCUUCGGGGGUAGAGCACUGUUUCGACUAGGGGGUCAUCCCGACUUACCAACUCGAUGCAAACUGCGAAUACCGAAGAAUGUUAUCACGGGAGACACACGGCGGGUGCUAACGUCCGUCGUGAAGAGGGAAACAACCCAGACCGCCAGCUAAGGUCCCAAAGUCAUGGUUAAGUGGGAAACGAAGUGGGAAGGCUCAGACAGCCAGGAUGUUGGCUUAGAAGCAGCCAUCAUUUAAAGAAAGCGUAAUAGCUCACUGGUCGAGUCGGCCCGCGCGGAAGAUGUAACGGGGCUAAACCAUGCACCGAAGCUGCGGCAGCGACACAUAGUGUUGUUGGGUAGGGGAGCGUUCUGUAAGCCUGCGAAGGUGUACUGUGAGGUAUGCUGGAGGUAUCAGAAGUGCGAAUGCUGACAUAAGUAACGAUAAUGCGGGUGAAAAACCCGCACGCCGGAAGACCAAGGGUUCCUGUCCAACGUUAAUCGGGGCAGGGUGAGUCGACCCCUAAGGCGAGGCUGAAAAGCGUAGUCGAUGGGAAACGGGUUAAUAUUCCCGUACUGGUGGUAACUGCGAUGGGGGAACGGAGAAGGCUAGGUUGUCCGGGCGACGGUCGUCCCGGUUCAAGCAGGUAGGCAGAGUGAUUAGGCAAAUCCGGUCACUUAAUGCUGAGAUGUGAUGACGAACCACCAAGGUGGUGAAGCAAUUGAUGCCCCGCUUCCAGGAAAAGCCUCUAAGCUUCAGGUUACCAACAAUCGUACCCCAAACCGACACAGGUGGUCAGGUAGAGAAUACUCAGGCGCUUGAGAGAACUCGGGUGAAGGAACUAGGCAAAAUGGUGCCGUAACUUCGGGAGAAGGCACGCUGGCGGUAGGUAAAGUCCCUUGCGGACGGCGCUGAAGCCAGUCGAAGAUACCAGCUGGCUGCAACUGUUUAUUAAAAACACAGCACUGUGCAAACACGAAAGUGGACGUAUACGGUGUGACGCCUGCCCGGUGCUGGAAGGUUAAUUGAUGGGGUUAGCCGCAAGGCGAAGCUCCUGAUCGAAGCCCCAGUAAACGGCGGCCGUAACUAUAACGGUCCUAAGGUAGCGAAAUUCCUUGUCGGGUAAGUUCCGACCUGCACGAAUGGCGUAAUGAUGGCCAGGCUGUCUCCACCCGAGACUCAGUGAAAUUGAACUCGCUGUGAAGAUGCAGUGUACCCGCGGCAAGACGGAAAGACCCCGUGAACCUUUACUAUAGCUUGACACUGAACAUUGAGCCUUGAUGUGUAGGAUAGGUGGGAGGCUUUGAAGUGUGGACGCCAGUCUGCAUGGAGCCAACCUUGAAAUACCACCCUUUAACGUUUGAUGUUCUAACCUAGGCCCAUAAACUGGGUCGGGGACCGUGUCUGGUGGGUAGUUUGACUGGGGCGGUCUCCUCCUAAAGAGUAACGGAGGAGCACGAAGGUUGGCUAAGCAUGGUCGGACAUCAUGCGGUUAGUGCAAAGGCAUAAGCCAGCUUGACUGCGAGAGUGACGGCUCGAGCAGGUACGAAAGUAGGUCUUAGUGAUCCGGUGGUUCUGAAUGGAAGGGCCAUCGCUCAACGGAUAAAAGGUACUCCGGGGAUAACAGGCUGAUACCGCCCAAGAGUUCAUAUCGACGGCGGUGUUUGGCACCUCGAUGUCGGCUCAUCACAUCCUGGGGCUGAAGUAGGUCCCAAGGGUAUGGCUGUUCGCCAUUUAAAGUGGUACGCGAGCUGGGUUUAGAACGUCGUGAGACAGUUCGGUCCCUAUCUGCCGUGGGCGUUGGAAGAUUGAGAGGGGUUGCUCCUAGUACGAGAGGACCGGAGUGAACGCACCACUGGUGUUCGGGUUGUCAUGCCAAUGGCAUUGCCCGGUAGCUAAGUGCGGAAGAGAUAACCGCUGAAAGCAUCUAAGCGGGAAACUUGCCUCGAGAUGAGUCUUCCCUGUCGCUUUAAGCGACCUAAAGGAACGUUUAAGACUAAGACGUUGAUAGGCUGGGUGUGUAAGCGUAGCGAUACGUUGAGCUAACCAGUACUAAUGAACCGUGAGGCUUAACCUGACAACACCGAAAGUGUUUUG
rnacentral:rRNA from 1 species